AGAGAGAGACAUGCGCGCAUAUCAAUAAGCGGAGGAAAAGAAACCAACAAGGAUUCCCUUAGUAACGGCGAGUGAAGCGGGAAGAGCUCAAAUUUGAAAUCUUCAAGGUUCUACCUUGACGAAUUGUAGUUUAUAGAAGUGUUUUCUGUUAGUGGAGUGGCAAAAGUUCUUUGGAAUAGGACAUCAUAGAGGGUGAGAAUCCCGUAUUUGGUCAUUCCUCCUAGCGUUGUGAUACACUUUCAGCGAGUCGGAUUAUUUGGGAAUGCAGUCCAAAAUGGGUGGUAAAUUUCAUCUAAAGCUAAAUAUUGGCGAGAGACCGAUAGCGAACAAGUACCGUGAGGGAAAGAUGAAAAGAACUUUGAAAAGAGAGUUAAACAGUACGUGAAAUUGUCAAAAGGGAAGCGUUUGACACCAGUGUUGUUUUUCCGAAAAUCAAUUACGAAUGUUUUAGUUUUUGAGGAGUUAUGACUUCAUCGGCUUGCUCCUUUCUUUACUGAAACUUUCUUAAUGCACUUUUCGGUUAACAAGUCAACAUCAAUUUCUUUUGUUGUAAAAGGGUAUGAGGAAGGUGGCUUUCUUUUCGGAGAAAGUGUUUAUAGCCUUGUGCCUCUGCAAUCGGAGAGAUUGAGGUCUGCAGCGUAGAUCCUUCGGGGUUAGAUACCUUGUGCUAAGUUAUAGCUUUUCAUAGACAACUUGUUGACUAUGUUUAGUCUUGUAGCUUACUCGCUGACGCUAUUUUACCUACGCUUAGGAUGUUGAUAGUCACAGCGUGUAC
rnacentral:rRNA from 1 species